ACGAGAAUCUGUGGAAAGAGGAUUCGUCCAAUUGAAGCAGAGGACAGUGGCGGACGGGUGAGUAACGCGUGAGGAACCUGCCUUUCAGAGGGGGACAACAGUUGGAAACGACUGCUAAUACCGCAUAACAUAUAGAUGUCGCAUGGCAUUUAUAUCAAAGGUUUAUCGCUGAAAGAUGGCCUCGCGUCUGAUUAGCUAGUUGGUGAGGUAACGGCCCACCAAGGCGACGAUCAGUAGCCGGACUGAGAGGUUGAACGGCCACAUUGGGACUGAGAUACGGCCCAGACUCCUACGGGAGGCAGCAGUGGGGAAUAUUGGGCAAUGGGCGCAAGCCUGACCCAGCAACGCCGCGUGAAGGAAGAAGGCUUUCGGGUUGUAAACUUCUUUUGUCAGGGACGAGUAGAAGACGGUACCUGACGAAUAAGCCACGGCUAACUACGUGCCAGCAGCCGCGGUAAUACGUAGGUGGCAAGCGUUGUCCGGAUUUACUGGGUGUAAAGGGCGUGUAGCCGGGAGGGCAAGUCAGAUGUGAAAUCCACGGGCUCAACUCGUGAACUGCAUUUGAAACUACUCUUCUUGAGUAUCGGAGAGGCAAUCGGAAUUCCUAGUGUAGCGG
rnacentral:rRNA from 1 species